rnacentral:lncRNA from 1 species
GUGAGUAAAUAUAAUGUAUUAUUUGGUAUUUGAGUUAUGGUUUAUGUUUGGAAUGAUUAUGAAUGAUUUCGAUAUAGUUUGGAUGGUCAAUAUAAGGUAUUAUUUUGUUUUUUUUUCCAUUGUUUAACAAGUCUUCACUUUUAGAAAUUUUUGUUUACUCUUGUAGUACGUUUUUUACUCUUGUAGUCUUGUAGUAUGAUUUUUAGUCUUGUAGUACGCUUUUGCGAGUGAUUUUAGUAUUGGUUUUGUCGCUGUCCUCUCUAGUUUGG